UUGAGAUGUUUCCUCUCUCUUCAUCUCUUCUCUUCUUUACACAAAGUCUGAGCAUUUUCUGUUUUUGCUUCUCUUCUCAUCUUCAUUCUUUUUUAUUUUUUUUUUUACGAUUUUGGUUUGGCUUUGAGGAUGGGUUGGGUAGCCAUGCUUUAUCUCGUCGUCGUUCCUGCACUCAACCGAGUUUCCCUUUCUGUGCUUGGCUUUAGACUAUAAAUUUAGCCUUCGAGUUUAAUUUGGGGUUUGGUUUGGUUUGGUUUCAACGAUUAUCUGAUCAAGCUUCUCCUAAUCGGCGACUCUUCCGUUGGAAAAUCUUGCUUGCUUCUCAGAUUCGCUGUGAGUCAUCACUUUAUUUGCUUCUCCUAAUCUCUCUUUUUGUUCACUUCCUUUGUUUCUUCGUUUCGUUUCAGGAUGACUCCUAGGUCGACAGCUACAAAAUCAGAACCGUGGAGCUGGAAGGGAAAACCGUCAAGCUGCAGAUUUGGUAUUUCGCGUUCAAUCGCUUAUAAUUGGUCUCGACCCAACAUGAAAAUCGGUGUUAGGAUCAUUCACGCAAGUUCCUCUUACCGGAACGUUCCUGUUUUUCGCAAAGGUUUUUUUUUUCCACUUUUUUCCCUUCCUUCUAUCUUUUUCAAUAAUCUGUCAUCAUUUUCCUCUUUUUGUUCCUUUUAAUUUUCCCGGGCUAUCAAUGAAGAAGCAUCCAACAGGAAAGUUUUUUCCCUUUUUACUAUUAUGCAUAUUUGUUUCAUUGAUAUUUGCUUCUAUUUGCAAGGUUCUAAUUUUGUUUGUUGUUAUGCAUGUUUGCUUCUUAAUAAUAGUUAUUUUUUCUUACUGAUUUUUCAACUCUGUUUUUGGUUCCUUUUUUAUUUUCCCAGGCUAAUUUUUUCGUCAUCUUCCCCAUAUGGGUUGUAAGUUAUGUGUUUGAUGAAAUGCCUAAAUGGAGUUUUAGUUUUUAAUCUUAAAAAUUCAUGUGCAUCAGUGCGCAUCCUACAAAUUCCACGCUGGGUGUCUAAUGAAUGAUACAUGCAAGAUUUUGAUGAUAAUCAUUGUAACAAUUGGUUGAUAUUGAUAUCAUUUAUAUUCUUUAAUUAUUUUAAUCUAUUGUUCAAUAGGAAGAAGCCUAGGUUUUUUUGUUCACCAGGAAGAAGCGCAGGUUUUUUUCCUUCUCUCUCUUAGUUUGUGUUAUUUUUUUAUUUUCUUUAAUUAUUAUUAUUAUUAUUAUUAUUAUUAUUAUUAUUAUUAUUAUUAUUAUUAUGUAGUUGGAUGUCCUUUUUUAUGUUAUAAUGACCGAGUGAAUUUCGAAAUUUUUCUUUGAGGUUCCUAGUGUAUGUAGGUGGUGAUAACAAAGAAAACCAAAAAAUAUCUUAGAAGAUUAAAAAGGUACCCCCUUGACUUGGUUCCAUUGUCUGUGCUUAAAGUCUUUAUAACUAUUGUUAGUCAAAAACUUUAAAAAAAGUGAUUUUAAGAUUUUGAAAAAUGUGAGUUUUGU